rnacentral:tRNA from 1 species
AGAGACAUCGUCUAAUGGAUAAGACAUCCGACCCUAAAAUUUAUAAAAUUAUCUCGGAAAAUGCAGGUUCGAAUCCUGACCGUCUCAC